rnacentral:rRNA from 1 species
AGAGAUCAUGGCUCAGAAUGAACGCUGGCGGCGUGCUUUACACAUGCAAGUCGAGCGAGGCGGGGAGCAAUCCCCAGUCGAGCGGCGAACGGGUGAGUAACGCGUGGAUGACCUGCCCUUCAGCGGGGAAUAACCCGGGGAAACUCGGGCUAAUACCGCAUACGACCGAGAGGUGAAAGGGGGCUCGCAAGAGCUCUCACUGGAGGAGGGGUCCGCGUCCGAUUAGCUAGUUGGUAGGGUAAUGGCCUACCAAGGCGACGAUCGGUAGCCGGCCUGAGAGGGUGAUCGGCCACACUGGAACUGAGACACGGUCCAGACUCCUACGGGAGGCAGCAGUGGGGAAUUUUGCGCAAUGGGCUAACGCCUGACGCAGCAACGCCGCGUGGAGGAUGAAGGUCUUUGGAUUGUAAACUCCUGUCAGCAGGGAAAAAGGGAAGGGGCCUAAUACGCCUCUGACUUGAUUGUACCUGCAGAGGAAGCCCCGGCUAACUCUGUGCCAGCAGCCGCGGUAAUACAGAGGGGGCAAGCGUUAUUCGGAAUUAUUGGGCGUAAAGGGCGCGUAGGCGGCCAUUCAAGUGACGGGUGAAAGCCCUCGGCUUAACCGAGGAACUGCCUGUCAGACUGGAUGGCUUGAGACCGGGAGAGGUGAGUGGAAUUCCCAGUGUAGCGGUGAAAUGCGUAGAUAUUGGGAGGAACACCAGUGGCGAAGGCGGCUCACUGGACCGGAACUGACGCUGAGGCGCGAAAGCGUGGGGAGCAAACAGGAUUAGAUACCCUGGUAGUCCACGCCGUAAACGAUGAGUGCUGGGUGUAGCGGGUAUCGACCCCUGCUGUGCCGAAUUCAACACAUUAAGCACUCCGCCUGGGGAGUACGGUCGCAAGACUGAAACUCAAGGAAUUGA